GAUGAAGAACGUAGCGAAAUGCGAUAAGUAAUGUGAAUUGCAGAAUUCAGUGAAUCAUCGAAUCUUUGAACGCACCUUGCGCUCCUUGGUAUUCCGAGGAUCAUGCCUGUUUGAGUGUCAUUAAUAUAUCAACCUUCUCUUUUUUGAGUUGUUUGGAUGUGGGGGUUUGCUGGCCUCUUAAAUGAUUCAGCUCCCCUGAAAUGCAUUAGCAGAACAACCUGUUCAUUAGCGUGAUAAUUAUCUAUGCUAUUGAAUGUGAGGGCAGUUCAGCUUUCUAACCGUCCUUGGACAAUUCAUCAUUAAUGUGACCUCAAAUCAGGUAGGACUACCCGCUGAACUUAAGCAUAUCAAUAAGCGGAGGA
rnacentral:misc_RNA from 1 species